rfam:Triticum aestivum genome assembly, contig: Triticum_aestivum_CS42_TGACv1_scaffold_224911_3B
CAAAUACUCCCGCAGUCCCAAAAUUCUUGUCUUAAAUUUGUCUAGAUACAGAUGUAUCUAAUACUAAAACGUGACUUGAUACAUUCGUAUCUAGACAAAUCCAAAACAAGUAUUUUGGGACGAAAGGAGUAUAAG